rnacentral:rRNA from 1 species
UACGAAGGGGGCGAGCGUUGUUCGGAUUUACUGGGCGUAAAGGGCGCGUAGGCGGCGGGUCAAGUCGAGUGUGAAAGCCCCGGGCUCAACCUGGGAGGUGCGCUCGGGACUGGUCUGCUAGAGUUCGGGAGAGGAGCGUGGAAUUCCCAGUGUAGAGGUGAAAUUCGUAGAUAUUGGGAAGAACACCGGUGGCGAAGGCGGCGCUCUGGACCGAGACUGACGCUGAGGCGCGAAAGCGUGGGGAGCAAACAGG